CUGGUUUCUGUGGAUGGGGAAUUCACAUGGGCUACAGCAGGCCCUCUAAUCUUCUACGUUCGGAGUCUCAGGUGGAGGAUGAGCAGGCUUGGGGUUAGAAUCACCUGAAGACUCCUUCCCUCCUGGGCGGGCCUAGCUGGAUGUGCAGCCUGCAAUACCCCUCACAACCCUCCACCCUCUCUCUGGUUCCGGGGGUGCAUCGAGGAGAUGCCACCCACAAAAUGAAAUGUGUGGGAGUUAUUAUUUCGGAGAACCUGGGUUAGGUGAUUAUUUAAAUGUUUUGGUCAGGAUUUCUGAAGAAAAUACAGAGUAAGUUCAAACUAGGUAAAAGGAUUAUUUUUAAAAGCAUGGGGAGAGUUUAAGAAAAACCAAAAAUAAGGGAUUAUGUAGAACUCCAGAAGUAGCAACAGGAGAGAGCCAUUACCUGUCCCAGGAUUGAAGGGACCCUGAGGCUAUUUGAAGAGAGUGUCUGUGGCCUUUAGGGAGGGAGGCAGAUAACCAAGGAUGAGCUGGGGGAGUAGGAGGAGAGUGACUAAACCCUGUCACCUCAUUGUCCUCCUGCCCUCUGAUCCCCAUGUCUAACGCCCCUGAAGGCCGUAUGGCCAGACCAGUCUCCCAGGAUCUGGAGUAGGGUGAUGGUGAGAUGGUGGAGAAUGGGUCUGGACAGGCAAACAGAAGGUAUCCAACACACCAAGAUAUCACCAGGGUCCGGCUGGGGGAGGGAGGAGUGUGUUUUGGUGAGUCACCAGUUGUCCCUUAUAGAGCUUCAGGUGAAUGCUGCUGGAGUCUGUGAGGCCUCCAUUAACAGACUUUCUAUUAUAUUUUAUCUUAUGAAAUUCCCAUUUUUGUAGGUAAAAUAAACUGGAAAAAUAGGCAAUUGCAUGUAGUUCAACUUAAUAUUCUGGGUACUUUCCAAUAAAGCUGCUAUUAGAUAACUGUUCAUAUUAGAUCACUAAAAAUGUGGCUCCUCAUUGUUUUAUUGUUGAGUAUUUUCUGUAUUAGAACUGCCUAAAAUACUUAAGUGGAAUGGGUAUUCUAAUUGGCCCACAAUAAACACCAGCCAAGGGAUGCUGGCAUCCUCUAGAAGACAGAAGAGGUAAGGAAGGGAUUCUCUUCCAAAAGGAACCAGCUCUGCAGAAACGUUCAUUUCAGUCCUAUACGAUUUUAUUCAGACCUCUGAUCUCCAGAACUGUAAAAGAAUAAAUUUGUGUUGUUUUAAGCCAAAUUUGUGAUAACUUAUAAAAGCAGCCAUAGGAAACUAAUAAUUGUGGUUUCCCUAGUUAUGUGAGUAUAGAGUGAGGAGGUAUGCAUGAGGAUAGAGUCCUUUCGACACCAUGUUGUUACUCCUUACAAACUCAGAUGCGAAAUUUGCACGAAGAGGAUAGCAGCCUCAGAAAGAUUGGGACCAAAACACGCACCCAGAAAUUUGGGGUUAGAGUGAUCUGUCAGGGUAGACUCGGAUGGUUCCCAGCAAGACACGGUAACAGAGAAGGCCAAUGGGAUGCCUGGGAAUACAGUGUCCUUAGAAAAGCGAGGAGGUCUUGGCUGAUCCAGGCUCGACAUAAGAUCCCAAGUGUUGUUGGGGGCACGACUGAUCUGGCACAGCUGAUGAUGUAUGUUACAAGGCCCUCAGGACCCAGCUGCCCAGAGAUGGUGUUUUUAGGGAAUAAUGGCUGAGCAAGACAUUGUGGACAAAUAAUGAGAGCUCUACUCCAGGAAUCCAAGCAGGAGGCGUCCCUGAAGCCAGAGCACCGGCUUGGACCAGCUCAGCAAGGGUUAACAAGGACCUGAGGAACUCUGGGGACCAGGUUUCCGCAGUGGCUCUGUGUGGCAGUGAGAAACACUGGUAGCAGUGGGCCAACUGGACUUCAGUCGUCUCUCCACUGGGCCUCUCAGCAAGGAUUGACCGGAUUGGCACUGAGUGAUCCCUGGAGGUUGCUGGUCCACCUCCAGUGCCUCAGGACCAGCUGACCCAUGAAGUCACGGAACUCCACACCCAGUAAUCCCAGGACUUUCUACGUGUUCCCAUCCCAUUCCAGCUGGACCCGUUUGUUGUCCCUUGGAUCAGCCUCUCAGCCCUGCUGUAGCCUGUGGUUCGAAUCUUCAUACUUGGUUUCCCCAGCCAUGACUCCUCGUGCUUCUUAAGAACAAUGGUUUGCACCCUCCAUUUCUUUUCUGGGUUUUGGUUCCUUUUUGUUGCAUUCCUAACCUAGCUUUAACAUGUCAGGCUCUAGUCCUCAAGCCUUGAGGUGUCUGACCGGUGCCCCUGUUGAGCCCAUUCAAGUUAUAAUGCAGUUAUACAUUUAAGAGUGAACAAAACAAGAUUGAUAGUCGUCAUGGCACAAGUGUUUUUAUGCUUAAAUGAAGAAUCACUUUUAUGACACAUUUG
ensembl:lncRNA